rnacentral:rRNA from 1 species
AGCGAGCGCUGGCGGCAGGCUUAACACAUGCAAGUCGAGCGCCGUAGCAAUACGGAGCGGCAGACGGGUGAGUAACACGUGGGAACGUACCUUUUGGUUCGGAACAACACAGGGAAACUUGUGCUAAUACCGGAUAAGCCCUUACGGGGAAAGAUUUAUCGCCGAAAGAUCGGCCCGCGUCUGAUUAGCUAGUUGGUGAGGUAACGGCUCACCAAGGCGACGAUCAGUAGCUGGUCUGAGAGGAUGAUCAGCCACACUGGGACUGAGACACGGCCCAGACUCCUACGGGAGGCAGCAGUGGGGAAUACUGGACAAUGGGCGCAAGCCUGAUCCAGCCAUGCCGCGUGAGUGAUGAAGGCCCUAGGGUUGUAAAGCUCUUUUGUGCGGGAAGAUAAUGACUGUACCGCAAGAAUAAGCCCCGGCUAACUUCGUGCCAGCCGCCGCAGUAAAAC